rnacentral:lncRNA from 1 species
UUACCUUCCAAAUUGAGCUUAUACGGGCAUCAACCUGCACAUGAAAUAAAAUUAAAAUUAAAUUGUUGAAUUGGAGUGCAAUUAAAUUAUUACGGCAUAGAAUGUCUCUAAUCAAUUUAGGCUGAAUUAUAACUUAAUUAACCAAAAAAGUAAUCAACAAUUUAAAUAAUUUAAUUGAAUAAGUUAAGCUCAAAAUUGAACUUAACAAACUCCCCCAUACUUAAACUAUUGAUCGUCCCUGAGCAAUCAAGUCGAUGAAAAUCAAGAAGAAUUUCAAAAAUAUCAAGAAUAAUCAAGAGUUGUUGCAUAGCCCAAGCUUAGGAUGAAUUUUGAAAUCAACAAUUUAGAUUUUGGUUUAUUCAAGAGAGGAAAAUAUAGAGGAAAUUAAUCAUGCUUCUUUGAUCAAUUCUCACCGAAAAGAAUAAAAUUAUUAACACUCUUCACUCAUUGUGUUUAGGCUAGUACAACGCUCUCAAAUUGAAAUCAACCGUAAUUAACCCCAUAGGCUUGCUUGUCC